UGUGGCCUGUAAUGCCUGCAAACUACAUGGCAUGGUGCCUGAACCAUGCAGAUGUUCAUACAUGUUUGCACCGUUUGGCAGCUCUCUCUGCCUUAGCUCUGGUUUCUGCCAUCACCAACGUGGACAGAACACAUUGGCCAUGCUAGCACUAUUUGUUCAAAGAAGGUGCCACAGAAGAACUCUGAGAUGUUGGCUCCCUGCCACAAAUGUGUAAAACUGCUGAGAAGAUUCCUGAAGUGAACCCAGCCCAUUCCUCUAUGGGAGUUUGGUAAAGGUCUAGCAACUAAGAUUACCAGAGACAAGAAAAGCAUCGCCUCCACCAAACUUUGGGAAAGCAGAGCUUUGCUUGCCUCCAGCCGACCUGAGACAUCUUCCUGCAGGCAAAGGAGACCAGGUUGCUCUUGCCAUGUACACUAGCAGGCCAUAACAGGAGGCUUGGCUGGCUCUAACAGCUGUCCUGAAGUUUCAAUACAUCUAGUAGCACUCUAUUUAUUGCGCUCCUGGCUGUGCCUGCGGCCUUGUCAGCUGCUGCUGAGUCAGAGGGUAGGUAGUUAAUUAAAGUCAUGGUGGCACUGUAGAAAUGAAGGACUGGGAAGGUAGCCAGUCUCAGCAGCCCUUGUUACUGGUUCCACUGCCAGGUCCCAGCAAACAAUGCAACCAGUCCCUGUGGAAAGGCCUGUCCCUCCUGGAGUGUUCAGCUCCAACAGUGUGGCAUUGAACUUUAUGAAACUGUGCUCUUGAGUGGAGGGAAAGGAACGGAAGUUCCAUGGAAUGAAGCAAAUCACUGUGCAGAGCCUGUGGUCAUGGUUUAAAGUGUUGUUGAGCUCCACUCAUGAUAAUGCUGCCAUUGAGAGAAACUUGCCCAAAAAACUGCUUGUGUGAUUCCUGCAACUUCUUGCCACUUCAGCGGCCUUGGUUUGGUUGGUGAGCUUUGCAGAUUCUUCAUGAUUGAACUACAGUUGCUGCUUCAUGCCUGUGGAGAGGACUAGUCUGCAUCUGCUGAUUUUUGUCUGGUGUUUGCUACAGGAUUGAACUACUGACAAAGAAAAUUUGAGCUCACCCCCAAGAACUAUUGCUAAACAGGUUCACUAUCCCCGUAUCCUAAUACCUUUUCUCUUCCACUACCUCUGAUGGGUGGUAGGAUGGAGGAGAGGUUGAUCCCUUAUUAAAAUAGACUACAAAAAAUUUAUGCC
ensembl:lincRNA Gm30459 predicted gene, 30459